GAACUCUGGAGAAUCCCGUUCAUUCGGGUGCCGAAGGUGCAAGGCGCGAAAGCGCUGAAUCUCUCAGGCGAAAGGACAGAGCAG
rnacentral:ncRNA from 1 species